UCCGCGAUAGCUCAGUUGGUAGAGCGUUCGACUGUUAAUCGAAUGGUCGCAGGUUCGAGUCCUGCUCGCGGAG
rfam:Polymorphum gilvum SL003B-26A1, complete genome.